rnacentral:rRNA from 1 species
AGAGUUUGAUUAUGGCUCAGGAUGAACGCUAGCUACAGGCUUAACACAUGCAAGUCGAGGGGCAGCAUGAACUUAGCUUGCUAAGUUUGAUGGCGACCGGCGCACGGGUGAGUAACGCGUAUCCAACCUUCCCCUUAGUAGGGCAUAGCCCGGCGAAAGUCGGAUUAAUACCCUAUGUUUUCCGUUGAGAGCAUUUGAAGUGGAACAAAGAUUCAUCGCUAAGGGAUGGGGAUACGUCCGAUUAGGCAGCAGGCGGGGUAACGGCCCACCUGGCCGGCGAUCGGUAGGGGUUCUGAGAGGAAGGUCCCCCACACUGGUACUGAGACACGGACCAGACUCCUACGGGAGGCAGCAGUGGGGAAUAUUGCACAAUGGGGGGAACCCUGAUGCAGCGACGCCGCGUGAAGGAAGAAGUAUCUCGGUAUGUAAACUUCUAUCAGCAGGGAAGAAAAUGACGGUACCUGACUAAGAAGCCCCGGCUAACUACGUGCCAGCCGCCGC